rnacentral:rRNA from 2 species
GCGAUACCCGAAUGGGGAAACCCAGUGUGAUUCGUCACACUAUCAUUAACUGAAUCCAUAGGUUAAUGAGGCGAACCGGGGGAACUGAAACAUCUAAGUACCCCGAGGAAAAGAAAUCAACCGAGAUUCCCCCAGUAGCGGCGAGCGAACGGGGAGGAGCCCAGAGCCUGAAUCAGCAUGUGUGUUAGUGGAAGCGUCUGGAAAGGCGCGCGAUACAGGGUGACAGCCCCGUACACAAAAGCGCAUGUGCUGUGAGCUCGAUGAGUAGGGCGGGACACGUGGUAUCCUGUCUGAAUAUGGGGGGACCAUCCUCCAAGGCUAAAUACUCCUGACUGACCGAUAGUGAACCAGUACCGUGAGGGAAAGGCGAAAAGAACCCCGGCGAGGGGAGUGAAAAAGAACCUGAAACCGUGU